rnacentral:rRNA from 1 species
ACUGAGUGGCAGACGGGUGAGUAACAUGUGGGAAUCUGCCUUGUGGUUCAGGACAACAUUGGGAAACCGAUGCUAAUACUGGAUAAGCCCUUACGGGGAAAGUUUUAAUGCCAUAAGAUGAGCCCGCAUUUGAUUAGUUAGUUGGUGAGGUAAUGGCUCACCAAGACAAUGAUCAAUAGCUGAUCUGAGAGGAUGAUCAGCCACACUGGGACUGAGACACGGCCCAGACUCCUACGGGAGGCAGCAGUGGGGAAUCUUGCACAAUGGAGGAAACUCUGAUGCAGCGAUGCCGCGUGAGUGAAGAAGGCCUUUGGGUUGUAAAGCUCUUUUGUAGGGGAAGAUAAUGACUGUACCCUAAGAAUAAGGUCCGGCUAACUUCGUGCCAGCAGCCGCGGUAAUACGAAGGGACCUAGCGUAGUUCGGAAUUACUGGGCGUAAAGCGCGCGUAGGCCGUUGAGUUAGUUAAUUGUGAAAUCCCAAAGCUUAACUUUGGAACUGCAAUUAAAACUGCUCGACUAGAGUUUGAUAGAGGAAAGCGGAAUACAUAGUGUAGAGGUGAAAUUCGUAGAUAUUAUGUAGAACACCAGUUGCGAAGGCGGCUUUCUGGAUCAACACUGACGCUGAGGCGCGAAAGUAUGGGUAGCAAAGAGGAUUAGAUACCCUCGUAGUCCAUACCAUAAACGAUGAUUGCUAGAUGUUGGAAAUUUAUUUUCAGUAUCGCAGCUAACGCAUUAAGCAAUCCGCCUGGGGAGUACGAC